GAUGAACGCUAGCGGCAGGCUUAACACAUGCAAGUCGAGGGGUAGAGGAAGCUUGCUUCCUUGAGACCGGCGCACGGGUGCGUAACGCGUAUGCAAUCUACCUUAUACAGGGGAUAGCCCAGAGAAAUUUGGAUUAAUACCCCAUAGUAUAAUUGAAUGGCAUCAUUUAAUUAUUAAAAGUUCCAACGGUAUAAGAUGAGCAUGCGUCCCAUUAAGCUAGUUGGUGUGGUAACGGCACACCAAGGCGACGAUGGGUAGGGGUCCUGAGACGGGAGAUCCCCCACACUGGUACUGAGACACGGACCAGACUCCUACGGGAGGCAGCUAGUGAGGAAUAUUGGUCAAUGGGCGCAAGCCUGAACCAGCCAUGCCGCGUGCAGGAUGACGGUCCUAAUGGAUUGUAAACUGCUUUGU
rnacentral:rRNA from 1 species